ACGAUCGAGACGACACAAAUCAUAGUUCGCAAUAUUUGGUCAUAUUCGACGUAGAUAAGGCUUUCUUUUAUGUAGGAUGAAAAGGUGCGGGAGGGAGUAAUUAUCGGUUGCAGUACAAUUUGACCAUCAUUUUGUUGGGUCUCAAAGUAAGUUGCAGUUGUAUUUGCUAGAGAUCUUCAUUUAUUUAUUUCGGAAUCAUGACUAUUCUUAAUAUUUUUGGUGCUUUUUUCUAUAGUUAAAGUAGUAUAUUUUUCGAGUAUUUUUGAGUGGACGGUAUAGUAAAAAGUAAAAGUUCCCAUUUCAGUCAUUGUGGUUUACUAUAAGACUGAUGAUGUAAAGGUCAACUGUUUCUGUGGCUUACGUUAACAAAGGUUUCAAGUGGCCAGCACAACGACGAAAGCCUUUACUUUCCCUAACUAAUAUACCAUAAAGAGGCGCCUUAAAAUCCACACAAAAAAAAACAGUGUCUAAUAGGAUAUCCCAGUCUUUAUUAGUAUUCGAACAUGGGGACCUCUGGUCAGUAACGAAGCGCUUUACCACUUCGCCACCGUGCCUCCAGCGUGAAGCUGAAAAAAAAAUUAAUUAUUGGUUCCGGUAAGAUAUUUAAUAUUUGCCUCUUGUUUUUUUUUUUUUAUUAACACCUUAAACUGAACUCAAACGAAAAACCCUAACUCAAUAUUAAACAAUAACCGCUAAUUUCAUUGAUAAGUUGAAGUCAUUAUAAUGCAUUACGUAUUUAAAUAUAAACGUUCAUGCACUGCUACAUGUAAUGCAAUCUACAACUCUCUUGUUUUACUAAAUCAGACAUCUUCACUAGAACAUAGUAUACAUAAAUCUGUUACAAUAACUUAGCCCUCUCAAUAGGCGUUACGGGUUAUUUUCUAUUAAUGAGUAAUAACGUGUUUACAGGAAAUAAGCCAUUGUAGAAUUAAUCGAAUCACUUCAUGCUGACUUUAUUUAUGUGCUUAGAAAGUAGCUUGCAAACAUACCCUAUAACUUUUGGGAAAAAAAAAGAGGUUAGCUUAAAACAUUUAACUGUAGUAUUCUUGAGAAAGUGAAGAAAUCACUCAACAUUGUGCAUAAAAAAAAUGAAUGUCACGAAACAAAUGUUUCUUGUAAUUUUGCUGUAUUUUAAAUAUUUAGAAACGAUUAACAUUCAGUGUGAAAUUGGAGAAGAAGGAAAAAACGCCAGCAUCUUAAUACAAUGGAACCAAACCCAAUCUGAAAGAGACUUUUUCGUUCUUUAUAAGGUUAAUAACUUCAACCACGAGAUAGAAACUGUACACUGUGAUUUGAUUGACUUAUGUGGCACUCUAAGUAAUCAAUUUGGUUCUGUAAGUGCACAUUUUCACACUAUUGACACAGUUGUAGUAACGUUUAAUAUAGUUUCUAGAGAACAUGAAGGUGAAUGGAGAGUCAAAUUAAAAAGCUUAACAAAGAUGACGUUAAAAUGAUUCAUGUCAUUUUACAAUUUUCGCAAGACCUGACGAUGUUCGCUGCACAUUUGAGUCUCAUAAGACCGACAACUUAACUAAAGUUACAUGCUCAGCUGUUAGAAUUUACCCAAAGCACAAGUGUGCAAUUCAUCACUAUACUAUAGGUAACGAUAGUUUGGAGUUACAGAGAAUAUCCUAUAUACAUGUGAAACAUGAAGGAGUGCCAGUCUACUAUACAUCGACUUGUACGCUCUAUUUUGACUCUUCCUUCACAAUGCAAGAGUAUAAUUUUACAGUGACUAUGUAUCCUGACGUAACAAUGACUGAAAAUGAUCAACGUCUUGGUAAAAAUAAAAGUCUAACACUUCUAAAAGGUAUGUUUGGCGUAUUUCAAUAUAAAUAUUUAUAUAGUAUUGCCAGGAUACCUUGGAGUCCAUUAAACUUAAGUUAAUAUCACUAUCUAUAUUAUAAAGUUGAAAGUAAGCGUAUGUAUGUAUGUAUGUGCCAAAUAGAAAUC
rnacentral:sRNA from 1 species